rnacentral:tRNA from 1 species
CCUGUAGUUCAAUGGUAGAGCACUAGCUUCCCAAGCUAGCCACACGGGUUCGAUUCCCGCCAGGU